UUGCACAGCUCGGCCAGUAUCAACAAAAUCCAGGCCUAAGAAAUGUGGAUGGUGCAAUUGAUUGCACACACAUUAAAAUAGUAAAUACUCCAGGGGUGGAACAUCAUGAAGCCUACAGAAACAGAAAAUCUUACUUUUCUAUAAAUGUCCAGGCAGUUGUUGGACCAUUUGGCAAUUUCAUGGACAUUGUGGCUCGAUGGGCUGGCAGUACACACGACAGCAGAAUAUUCCAGAUGUGUUUGUUGCGCACCAAAUACAUACAUCAACAACAUUCUGGUUAUCUCAUUGGAGACAGCGGAUAUCCUUGUUUAAGGUUCCUGCUAACACCUGUAGGUACUCCAACAACCCAUGCGGAACAAACAUACAAUAGAGUGCAUGUCAAAACAAGAAAUGUGGUGGAAAGAACCUUUGGGCGAUGGAAACGGCGGUUUCCAUGUCUAAGUAGGGGGUUGGGCAACAAAUUGACCACAGUGUCAAAUAUAAUAGUAGCAUGUGCUGUACUUUUUAAUAUAUCAUUGUCUACAAAUGACAUGAUGCCUUCAUAUGAAGAAGAUGGUGAAAUCAAUGAAGAAGUCAUAUAUGAUGAAUCCAACAGUGAAGGGACUACCGAUGGAUUUGCUUUUAGAAACACAAUUAUUAGUAAUUACUCUUGAUUUUAUAUUAUUCAGUUUUUCUAACAAUAAAAAACUAUGU